rnacentral:lncRNA from 1 species
UCUUAAUUCAACGAAAUAAAGGGUUCCAAACAAGUUACGUUGUUCGCCCUAAAAUCAACUUUAGCUAUGCAUAAUAAUAGAGGAAAAACACAAGUUUAUUAGGAAAUUCAUCACUGGGAAUUGAUGGAACGUGAAUAAAUUUUCAAUUAUGCUCCAGCCAUAAAACUCCUUCUGUGUAAUUCUCCCUUUCCUGUCUCUGUUUGCACAUGUAUUGAUUUCAGCAGUAAGCAACCCAAUUCCUUCACCCAGCAGCCGAAAUUUCCAUGUGUAUGGAGAUAAAUUUCAGCAGUCGGCAGCCUUAUUAAUUCAACAAUUUUCUUUGCUUCGUUUUCGUGCCGGCAGCCGCUAAUUCACUCCAAACUCUCCUCACUUUCUGUGCUUGAAUUUAAUAAUACUCUUGGCUGCCCUCUGUGUGUAUGUAUCUCUUAUGAUAGUAGCCAGCAGCCCUUUUUUAUUCCCCAAGCCAGCCGCAAUUUAUUUCCCAAGAACUCUCCAAUUUCUUUGGUUGCCUCCUCUCCAUUUUCUGUGCAUAAUGGAGCCGCUAUAAUUGACUCCAAGUUGGAGUCCAAUUUUCUCCCACCGGCUC